AAACUACUGAAUUUCAGCAAGGCAGUUUAGCAAAUUCUUUUAUAAAUUUGAAGGAACCUGUGGAUUGGAUGAUUCUGCGUUGUGGCAGCAUUGUCAACUGAUGGACCCACCAGUUCCUGAAUCCUGCUGACUAAUGGAUCAUUGUCAACUUGCUGGAGCUUUGAGGAAGAUCAGGAGAGAGAAAAGGAAGGAAUUACCUCGGAUGGCUGGAGCGGAGAACUAAUGAAGGGAAGGCUCCAGGGCUUUGCCAAUGGGGCAUCUGGCCGGAAAAUCUGUGGAUGAAUCAGCACAAGUGGAUGCUCGCUGUUACAAAAAUGGCCCAAAUCACAUAUUCUAGUGAUCAUUGUUGAUGGUAUCAUAUUAAAAGUGAACUGCCAUGGAAGAAUGCUAACUUUUGUUGGUGCUUGAGGUGUAGGAGUCCAGAGACAUUCGAUUGGGUGUUUUGAAAGCAAAAGGCCAGUCUCCAGACACGUUUUAGUGUCAGCAUUCAGACUUUCACAGCUUUGGCUACCUCUAUGUGCUAUUAUAAAUUGAUGUCAUUACAAAGAUAUUAUAAUACCUAUCUUUUCUCCUAGAAUCAUGAAAAGGACUAUCCUUAAUAUGGAAUUGGAUAUUAAAAGCCGUUUCUUAUCCGUGUGUCCUAAAGCAAUAAAUGACUUCUAUAAUUAAUUAGUGCAUGGGUCAUUCCUGGAAUGCUGAUUGUCAUUCUGUGGUUUAAAAUCACAACCUGGGAUUUUCUUUUUUGUCUUUUGUCCAUAUGUGACUCUGAGUAGCCAAAUCUAAGUAUCAUUUGCUCUAGAUGCUUGACAUAGUUUAUAUGCCUAGCAAUUAUGACUGCCAAAUAUUUUACAUUGUGAAGCCAAAUGGCAAAGUCACACUUAUAGGGUGCAAAAAGGAAAUCAGAUAUCGAGUAUGAUACCACACAUUCAAUAGAGAAUGAGAGUUCAGGACACGGCCUGUGGAGUUGAACUGACCUGAAUGAGAACUCAGCUUUCUCAUUGAAUGACUGAAUGCCUU
rnacentral:lncRNA from 1 species